AUUCCAACUUGAACCCAUUGAGCGAGCUGUCUCUUUACUAUCGCGUGGUUUUAUACAUCUUGCCGCUGAUUGGGCUGACAUUUCUGACACACCCACCAAACAAGAGAAAACGCUUCUAAAACCUGUUGCAUUCCGUUGCACAACGUUUCAAGGAAACAUGUCGUUCAACCCGGAAACCGUAGCAAAACGUUGCGCACCGGUGUGAGAUUGAACGUGCCCCUGGUCAUUUUCAAGUUCAACUGGUUUUUAAUGUUAAAAGUCCCUCGCAGUCAACAGCUGUUUCCGGUGAGUUCUCAACUGCAGGAUCAAUAGCAUUCAGCAGUGAGUUUAACAACGCUCAAAUGUGGGUAAAAUAACAUUCAGAGAGGAGUUUUAUUAAAACAGCGUUCAACUGCAUGUAAGACAACCUUUUAGAGGUGAGUUUAACAACGCUCCACGGCGCGUGAGAUUAAGUAUUUUAAGCGUUUUCUGAUCAUGUAUUGCUUAUUAGACGUGAUGCAUGCUGGGUGUUAAAUAAUUUUUAUCAAAUGAUCGUUGAUGUUAAUAAAUAUAGAUCUAAAUAUACAUUUUACUUGUGUUCGAUUAAUUAAUAAGUUGUUUAAUUAUUAAUUUGUUUAUUUAAAGUCCUGUAAUAACUGUGACGUCAUCGAAUGAGACGAAGGUCCAUGGCUGUUUCAACUCGGAAGUUGAGAUGAAGAACUCCAAGAACAUCUCUUGAUCUUGGAAAAGUUGGUUGAUGGUCAAGAACUAAAGGAUGAGCUCCAAAGUCUUGAUGACUUUCUUGGUGAACUGCAAGAAAGGCAGCAGCACCAAUAAAGACACCUGAGCCGAGGGUGCAUUGGAGAAAAAGAGACAUUGAUGGAAAUAUUGUCUAUGCAAGGCCAAGGUCAAGCAGGAAUCAACAAAAGAAAGCUGAUCACACUCGGAACACUGAUCCUCCCAAUGCUCCUGACACUCAUUGUGAGGUGGCCUUUGCUCCAGAGACUGUUGGUGUGUACUUCAAUGUGUUUAAAUUACAGAAUAUGACAGUGGGUUAUAAGAGUGUAUUCACUGAACGAUUUCUCAAGUAAUGACGCAUCACCUCCUGGAACCCCAAGAGAUCCUCUUCAGGCUUCCUCAAACUGGAGCACACACAAAUUCUCUUUUCAGAGAGGUGGAGGACAGAGAGACCCUGUCUGCUGAACACGGCUGUGGCACAAGAAAAUGUGGCAGCACAUCUGCCAGAGUGUGGGAGAAGCCCAAGCUGUUAUCCAGUGUUGUGACUGACGACCUCGUCCCUUCUUCUGUGCUGAAUGUGACGUCAUCAUGUCCUCCAUAGCAGAGAUGCCAUGACUGCUGGAUUCUUCCAGCCAUUGCCUCCAACAACUGUUGUGGUGGAUAAGGCUCUUUCCCAUUGUGAGUCAUUAAGGGUCUGUCCAGGAAAGAGUUGCUGUGGUCACAAUUAAUGAUAUCUUGUUUUCAUUUGAAGAAAUGAAGAUGGCGGCACCAGGACUGUCCUUUCAAGCAUUUUUAAGAAUGCUGGAUCAGCGAACUGUCUGCUUUGGUUGUACUGGCAAGAUCUCAGCAGACAGUUUUCAGAAACGUUUUUUGGCUUUGCGAUUCAAGGUGGACAAUAUAUUCAAAUCUGAGGAACCGGACAUCUUUGAAGGCAUCUUCAUAGCUAAGGAUGAGGAUAUUACCAAACUUGUAAAAUUGUAGAUGAUAAUUACACUAUAGGACUACAAUAUCCUCUUAUUGAAUAGUUUGUGUAGGAAAGUCUUAUUUUCACCAUUUUCCAUAUUGUCGGUCAGUGGAAGAGGUGUUUGUGGAGGGGAGUGGUCAGCAGCCAGAGAGACCUCCCAAAAACUGCAAGCAAGAUAGACGAGGAGGGAUUGGAGUUGUGGUGAAAUGGAGUAUGGCAUAUCAGGAUGGUUGUGGAUUAACACUAGGAGAGGGGGUGGAACAGUGCAAUGCCUUCCUCUCUAGGAUUCCAGUGACCACAAAACACAUUUCAAAAGCAGGACGCGCAGACAUGCUGACUCUCAUGGCCAUGCACUGACAUCAGCAAACGUUUAACAAUUUAGCCAUCUCAAAUACUCGCCGAUAUCAGAAGAUUCGCCAAGCAAGAGACUGUUACCUACAAGUUUUGUCGGGAGCCGAGAACAUCAACUUCUUGUAUAGAAGUUGAUGAGUACGACAGUGACUUUGACAUUUCUGGUGAUGGUCUGUAAUCCACAAGACUGUGAUACCUUCCAUUAUUCUGGACAAAGAUUUCUAACUGUCAAUAUAAAGCAAUUAAUAAAAUCUACUUUUCAUAA